rnacentral:rRNA from 1 species
GGGGUAUAUGUCUUCGGAUAUAGAGACCGGCGCACGGGUGCGUAACGCGUAUGCAAUCUACCUUUCACAGAGGGAUAGCCCAGAGAAAUUUGGAUUAAUACCUCAUAGUAUUACGACUCGGCAUCGAGAUGUAAUUAAAGUCACAACGGUGAAAGAUGAGCAUGCGUCCCAUUAGCUAGUUGGUAAGGUAACGGCUUACCAAGGCAACGAUGGGUAGGGGUCCUGAGAGGGAGAUCCCCCACACUGGUACUGAGACACGGACCAGACUCCUACGGGAGGCAGCAGUGAGGAAUAUUGGUCAAUGGACGCAAGUCUGAACCAGCCAUGCCGCGUGCAGGAUGACGGUCCUAUGGAUUGUAAACUGCUUUUGUACGAGAAGAAACAACAUUACGUGUAAUGUCUUGACGGUAUCGUAAGAAUAAGGAUCGGCUAACUCCGUGCCAGCAGCCGCGGUAAUACCGAGGAUCCAAGCGUUAUCCGGAAUCAUUGGGUUUAAAGGGUCCGUANGCGGUUUAGUAAGUCAGUGGUGAAAGCCCAUCGCUCAACGGUGGAACGGCCAUGAUACUGCUGAACUUGAAUAUUAGGAAGUAACUAGAAUAUGUAGUGUAGCGGU